rnacentral:rRNA from 1 species
CAGCCGCCGCGGUAAAACGGAGGGUGCGAGCGUUGUCCGGAUUUAUUGGGUUUAAAGGGUGCGUAGGUGGCUUUAUAAGUCAGUGGUGAAAUACAGCCGCUCAACGGUUGAGGUGCCAUUGAUACUGUAGAGCUUGAAACAAUUGGAGGCUGCCGGAAUGGAUGGUGUAGCGGUGAAAUGCAUAGAUAUCAUCCAGAACACCGAUUGCGAAGGCAGGUGGCUACGUUUGAUUUGACACUGAGGCACGAAAGCAUGGGGAGCAAACAGGAUUAGAUACCCGUGUAGUCCCUGUCUCUUAUAC